rnacentral:lncRNA from 1 species
AAAUCGAAAUCGAUCUGAGUCGAAUAGUUCACAAACUUUAACUGAACCGAACUCGAGCUAAAAAAAUAACUCGUAUCGAACUUGAACCGAGUUUCGAGCCGAAUCAAUCCUUAUCGAGCUGAACCGAACUAAACUCUUGUUCGACUUAGUUCGGCUCAUUUCCAGUUCUAGGGACAAGUGAUCCCUGUCCCACUGUUGUAACAAUACGGUCUCAAACUAGACUCGAAAGGAUGAAGAAAUGACAAUGUUAGUAAUAACAAAAACCAAGAUGAAUGCAACCUAGGAAAGUAUAUCUCUUAUUCAGAAGCAUUUAGUGGUAAUAACUAAUCAUAAUUAAAAGAGUACUGCUUACAAGCUGGCCAAAAUAAAAGUCCCAACACUCUUACAUUUGCUCUAGAUGAAGUGAAUAAUUACAUUGUAAAGCAAAUAACAGUAACCAUUUUAUGAAUUUAACUUGGUAUCAGAUAAAUAUACAACAAAAAGACUAAUGUAAAUAACCAAAAAAGGCAUAACAAAACAUGGCAUCCAGAAAAUAAUGCAUGGAAUGCUAAAUGAGCUAAGUGAACACUAAAGUGUUAUCUUAAGAAAAUGAAUGUUAAAUAUUGGAUCAACAAACUAUACCGAUGCAAAACAGGACUUACACAUGAUGUCGAGUGCUAAGUAAAU